rnacentral:misc_RNA from 1 species
CAAAAUUUUACAACAUAUCAGCUCAGGCCCAGUACAAAAACGCUCCGCUUGACAUUCCGUAUAUGUAAAAGAACAAUAAAAAUAAUAUUUAUAAUGAACAGAUAAAUGCCGAAAGUUACAAUGCCAUGUGCCACAUAGAGGGUAGAGAUUAUCAGAUUAAUAUGAAGUGGCUAAGAGCCUUACUCUUCCACUGAGAUGGUACAUAUUGGUAUUCGCCAAAACUGUGCAGCAACCAGUAGCAUGUAGGACACGUCCAUUAGUCUUCAGGUUACAAUUAAUAUGGUAGAAUCAGCUACUAGUUAGUCCCUCCAUUUAAGCAUGAAUAUACAUAAGAGGGCUAAGAUCAGACAACAGAAAAGCUUCAAGUAUCAGAUGAUGCAUGAAUAGCUGUUAUAAUUCCUAAAGUACACAAACUUGCUCCUCUUUCAGAACAACAUAUUAAUGAAAUCCCAUGUUAGGCUUAAAAACAAGCAGCAUUUCCACUCGUAACUUGUUCACUCAUGAAACUUCUUGAAGAGCUAGAUUC